UUUUUUUUAAAUGUGUGGUUUUGAAAAAAAAACUGUUCGGAAUUUGGAAAAUUAUUCAUGGUUCCAAGUAUAUUUUGCAAUUCAUAGUUAUGAUUUUUUUUGAAAAGUAUAAAAAAUGAAAAAAAUUGUUUUGAAUCUGACAUUGCAGUAUAUCCUUAAAUAUUCAUGCUAAAUAUUGAUUAGCAGGACGGGUUUGUUUGAGUGGCUACUAACAUGUGGGACUGCUCAUAUUGGGCCUUUGAAGUCGUGAGUUCGAUCACUCCCAUAUUGGGCCUGCUCCGCAUCGGGCAUAUUGAGCUAAGUCGGCUUGUUCAGAAUAAGGGACACCAUAAAUUAUUGAUGGUUGACUAAAAAAUAAAAUAAAUUAUUAACGGUGGUAGAUUCCAUAUGCAAAUAAAAGAGAAUAUGCAGGUUAAUUAUAAUUGAAGGAAAUUGUGGGCACAUAUCAAUAAAAGAGAAUAUAACGGGUUGGCUCUAAUUAAAGGGUAUCGUGUUGAACUAGAGAAUACGGACAUGUGGGGUCUUGAUCCAUUCUUAUAUUGAGUCAGAUGCAUGUAGUUUUAUUAUCCCGUUGCAACGCACGGGCAUGUGUGCUAGUAGAACUGCCUAUAAGAACCCUAUGGGUAUGUCUCCAUAUAAAAUAGUUUAUGGAAAAGCAUGUCACUUACCUUUUAAACUAGAACAUAAGGCAUAUUGGGCUAUUAAAGAGCUCAAUUAUGAUUUCAAACUUGCCGGUGAGAAGAGGUUAUUUGACAUUAGCUCGCUUGAUGAAUGGAGAACCCAAGCCUAUGAGAAUGCCAAGUUGUUUAAAGAAAAGGUUAAAAGAUGGCAUGACAAGAGGAUACAAAAGCGUGAGUUUAAUGUAGGUGAUCAUGUUUUGCUAUACAACUCUCGUUUAAGAUUUUUUGCAGGAAAGCUUCUCUCUAAAUGGGAAGGUCCUUACAUUAUCCAGGAGGUCUAUCAUUCCGGUGCCAUCAAAAUCAACAAUGCUGAAGGCACAAAUCUGAAGGUGGUGAACUGUCAAAGAAUCAAACAUUAUAUCUUGGUACUCCCAUGAAUGUUGAGACCAAUAUAAUUGACAUCGUAACACCGCAGCAGUACAUAAAGGACACUUUUCAGAACAUUUCAGACUCCGAAAAGGAAUAGGUAUGUGGUACGGUAAGUAAAACGACUCCAAAACGUUUCAAUAGCAAUUUUUCUUUGUUUUGGAAUAUUUAAAAAAUUAGGAAAAUUAAAAGUAGUCCGAAAGAGAGACGAGGCGAUCAUAAGGGUGCAGGGCGCACCCUACCCCCUGGGCGCACCCCGCAACCUUGUGGCCACCUCGUGUGCCCCCCGAACUUUGUUUUCUUGCACAAUACUUCUGUUGGUCGGUAAAAAUUCAUUAUAUAAUCUCCCGAAGGUUUUGACCACCGUGCCAUGGCAAAAUCCCUUGUUUUCGUUUUGAGUUGUUUUCUGCCAUAGUUUCCAAGGCCAGGCAUUAUGUCAUCCUCCUCCUCCAACAAUGCGGACGGCGAUGCUUGGUUGAUGCAGACGGAACUUAGAAGGGAGGAUGCCGAGGGAGCCACGAUGGAGGAGGAUGAAUGAGAUUUGCUUGAGGAACAACCUCCAGUAACGGAGAGGGGUACUCUGGCAGGCAUCUCCGCUAUUCCAAGUCCCCAGCAAGCAAUAGGAACCGCAAACAACCAUGAAGACCAAGAGGUUCGAGAAGGGCUUCCCCCUAGGAGGCCCUUACACAGGGAAGAGUUCUUGGGGGCCUAAAAAUAAGCAUCUUAUGGAGGAAAUUCAAAAGAAUGCAAAUAUGCUCCAACGUGUGCUCCAAGAACUGCAAGUUCUGAAAGGUGCAUUAAUGAAGCUAACGGAUUCAUCAACAACUCCAUCACCACUACCUCCAAAGAAAGAGACAUAAAUACAAGGGUAUGGGCACUCCCCUUGGCAACUGCCAAGCUUGGGGGAGGUGCCCCCGUAUCCUAUCACCAUCACACCUUUAUCUUUAUCGUUUUUCUUAGUUUGAUCCUUUUGGUUAUAUCUUGAUCUAGUAGAAUAAAGUUUUAAUAUGAUCUAGCUUUGAGUUUUGUUUCGAUCUCUAUCUAUGUAAUCGAGUCCGUGAGUUAUAUAUAACAAAGAGUAGUUUGAGUUGAGGGCUUUGCUUUCUUGCUAUGAUCUUGAGGGAAUUGAAUAAAAGAAAGAAUAAAAAUAAAUAAAAAGAUCAUAUAUUGAUCUUAUGGAGAGUAAUGGCUUCACAUAUAAAGAGUAUGAUGAAUAAAAGUUGUUGAUAGUUGACAAACAUAGUUUUGGUCAUUGUUGCAAUUAAUAGGAAGUAAUAAAGAAAGAGAGGCUUCACAUAUAAAUAUACUAUCUUGGACAUCUUUUGUUGAUGUUGGACAAGGAAGACAAUAUAAUGGGUUAUGUUUUCUUAUAUCCGAAUAGAAGUUAUAUUGUCAUAGAUCAUCCAACAUGUUGAGCUUGCCUUUCCCUCUCAUGCUAGCCAAAUUCUUUGCACCAAGUAGAGAUACUACUUGGGCUUCCAAACAUCCCUUAAACCAGUUUUUCCAUGAGAGUCCACCAUACCUACCUAUGGAUUGAGUAAGAUCCUUCAAGUAAGUUGUCAUUGGUGCAAACAAUAAAAAUUGCUCUCUAAAUAUGCAUGAUCUAUUAGUGUGAAGAAAAUAAUCUUUAUACGGACUUGUGAUAUGGAAGAAAUAAAAGCGACGGACUGCAUAAUAAAGGUCUUUAUCACAAGCGGCAAUAUAAAGUGACGUUCUUUUGCAUUAAGAUUUUGUGCAUCCAACCAUAAAAGUGCAUGACAACCUCUGCUUCCCUCUGCAAAGGGCCUAUCUUUUACUUAUAUCUCCUACCCUUAUACAAGGGUCAUGGUGAUCAUCACCUUUCCUUUUUACACUUUUUCCUUUGGCAAGCACUAUGUGUUGGAGAGAUCCGGAUAUAUAUAUAUAUCCACUCGGAUGUAGAUUUUCAUAAAGUAUUAUUGUUGACAUUACCCUUGAGGUAAAAGGUUGGGAGGCGAAACUAUAAGCCCCUAUCUUUCUCUGUGUCCGAUUGAAGCUUUGAACCCAUAAAUAUCAUGUGAGUGUUAGCAAUUGUGAAAGAUUAAAUGAUAGUCGAGUAUGUGGACUUGCUGAAAAGCUCUUAUAUUGACUCUUUCUGAUGUUAUGAUAAAUUGCAAUUGCUUCAAUGACUGAGAUUUAGUUGUUAGUUUUCAAUGAAGUUUCUGAUUCAUACUUUACUUUGUGAACGAAUUGUUAGUUUAGCAUAAGAAAUUAUAUGGCAUUAUAUGUUGCUAUUCUAAAGAUGAUCAUGAUGCCCUCAUGUUUGUAUUUUAUUUUAUCGACACCUCUAUCUCUAAACAUGUGGACAUAUUUUUUGAUUUCGGCUUUCGCUUGAGGACAAGCGAGGUCUAAGCUUGGGGGAGUUGAUAUGUCCAUUUGCAUCAUGCUUUUAUAUUGAUAUUUAUUGCAUUAUAGGCUGUUAUUACACAUUAUAUCACAAUACUUAUGCAUUUUCUCUCUUAUUUUAUAAGGUUUACAUGAAGAGGGAGAAUGCCGGCAGCUGGAAUUCUCGACUGGAAAAGGAGCAAAUAUUAGAGACCUAUUAUGCACAGCUCCAAAAGUCCCGAAACUUCCCGGAGAAUAUUUUUGGAAUAUAUAAAAAAUAUAGGGCGAAGAAAGUACCAGAGGGGGGCCACCUUCCAUCCACAAGGGUGGAGGGCGCGCCCUACCCCCUGGGGGCGCCCCCCCAUCCUGGUGGGCCCCCUGGCAGGCCCCCGACGCCCAUCUUCUGCUAUAUGGUGUGUUUUGACCUGGAAAAAAUCAGAAGGAAGCUUUCGGGACGAAGCGCCGCUGUUUUGAGGCGGAACCUGGGUAGAACCAAUCUAGGGCUCCGGCGGAGCUGUUCUGCCGGGGAAACAUCCCUCUGGGAGGGGGAAAUCAUCGCCAUCGUCAUCACCAACGAUCCUCUCAUCGAGAGGGGGUCAAUCUCCAUCAACAUCUUCACCAGCACCAUCUCCUCUCAAACCCUAGUUCAUCUCUUGUAUCUGAUCUUUGUCUCAAAACCUCAGAUUGGUACCUGUGGGUUGCUAGUAGUGUUGAUUACUCCUUGUAGUUGAUGCUAGUUGGUUUAUUCGGUGGAAGAUCAUAUGUUCAGAUCCUUAAUGAUAAUUAAUACUCCUCUGAUUAUGAACAUGAAUAUGCUUUGUGAGUAGUUACGUUUGUUCCUGAGGACAUGGGAGAGGUCUUAUUAUAAGUAAUCAUGUGAAUUUGGUAUUCGUUCGAUAUUUUGAUGAGAUGUAUGUUGUCUUUCCUCUAGUGGUGUGAUGUGAACAUCGACUACAUGACACUUCACCAUUAUUUGGGCCUAGGGGAAGGCAUUGGGAAGUAAUAAGUAUAUGAUGGGUUACUAGAGUGACAGAAGCUUAAACCCUAGUUCAUGCGUUGCUUUGUAAGGGGCUGAUUUGGAUCCAUAUGUUUCAUGCUAUGGUUACAUUUAUCUUAAUUCUCCUUUCGUAGUUGCGGAUGCUUGCGAGAGGGGUUAAUCAUAAGUGGGGGGCUUGUCCAAGGAAGGGCAACACCCAAGCACCGGUCCACCCACAUAUCAAAUUAUCAAAGUAACGAACGUGAAUCAUAUGAGCAUGAUGAAAACUAACUUGACAACAAUUCCAUGUGUCCUCGGGAGCGCUUUGCUUUAUAUAAGAGUUCAUCCAGGCUUGUCCUUUGCUACAAAAAGGAUUGGGCCACCUUGCUGCACCUUAGUUACUUUUAUUACUUGUUACCCGUUACAAUUUAUCUUAUCACAAAACUAUCGGUUACCGAUAAUUUCAGUGCUUGCAGAGAAUACCUUGCUGAAAACCGCUUGUCAUUUCCUUCUGCUCCUCGUUGGGUCGACACUCUUACUUAUCGACAAGACUACGAUAGAUCCCCUAUACUUGUGGGUCAUCAGGCGCCUUCUCGUUUUCCUCGUCGAGGAGGUUGAUGACAGAGGCGAUGCUUUAGUGGGUUGGCAUGCUUGGAAAAGGUGGAUGUGCUACAGGCUACGCUUGUCGCCUCAGUGCAUCGUGCGCCGCCUAGGUUUAUAUGCGCAAUAUCGCUGGGUGGCAGCGGGAAACCAGUGAGGAAAUGGCGGAAAACGAUGGCGUGUUCAUAAAACGCCAUCAGUUAAUGGAAACUUAGCAUAGAAAGAACAUCAAGCUAGCACGACGCGUGUGGGCACAUUGCUCGUCCAAGGCUAUGAUCCAUAUACUUGUGUGCCCAACAGAGCAUACUAUUCACAGUAAAGAAUAUUGUUUCAUUUAUCCUAGUAGAGGAGUGGCGGCAAGAGUCACAAGAAGAAGUAGAGGAUGGUCAGAAGUCAUUUAUCCUAGUUAAUUAUGCAUGUAAUAGUUUACUUUGGUGUGUGUAAAUGUCAUGUGUGUACUAGCCACCUAUGUAAUUGGAUGUUUAAUUUGGUUGUGCAAUCAUGUCCUUAUUAGUAUAUAUGUUGUUGUUCUGUAUGCAAUCACAUCGCACACAGAACAUACUAGGGAAACCGUCAGUGAUGAAUUCAUCAGUCGUUGAUAAUUGUAUACCAGAAAGUGUUUGCCCACAACACACACAGCUUAUUAGCAGCAAUCGUCUGUGUUAUUAUCGGUCUUCACACACAUUUCUGAUUACAGACUUGUUUUCCACGUACCACACACAUCUUGUUAAGUUGAACCAUUUAUGUUCUCUUGGAUCAACGCAAACAGUUCAUCUGAGUGAACUGUUUGCCGUAUAGCGCACACACCUUUGAUCUGGCUGACCGUUUCUGUUGUGUUGCCUAAGCACAAACAGUUCAUCCGAGUGAACUGUAUCCCGUAUAUCGCACACACCUUCAUCUGGCCGCCCGUUUUUGUUGUUCCCUCAUCGCCAACAGUUCUGCUGGAUUAACCGUAUGCCAUGCAUCGCACACGCAACUCUAAUAUGAAUCGUGUUUGAUGUCUCCGCCAUCGCAAACAUUUUUUAUCUUUUUUUAUAGUUUUAUUACAUCACCAUUUGUGAUUAAUGCAUCACACACAGUUUCGUCGAAGGGUCUCUGAUUGAAUUGUCGCGUUUGGACCAACCCGCAGUAGUGAAUUAUAAGAGGUUGAAGCAUGUAGAUUGUUUUUGCAUCAACUCUUGCAUAUAAUUAGAUGCAUGAUUGAUAAAACCAGGGCUAGCCAAUACAUUAUGCUCAUUAAAUGACCUAGCAACAACAUAUGAAUUAUUUCUAUCUACAUAAAUGAAUUGGGUAUUCAUAUUAUCUUUGUAGAUUCCAAACCCUAGAUGAUGAUCUUUUCGUAGCAAGAACAAUUAUGAUGGAAUUUUUGAAGCUUCGUCCCCAGCGGAGUCAUCAAAAAGUGUGUUCGCAGAUGAGCAUGUCACCAUGUACCUCCGGCGUCAAGUGCGAUAUGCACGACAUGUCGCUAGAGGAGCCUCACUAGGAGCAUGAUACACAAGUGACGCUGACGAUAACUUUUGAGACCCGAACCACACACGCCAGGGAGGGACCCCGUUAGGGAGUGCAGUGGCUAUGGUCAGUGCUAGGUUAGCCCAACCACCCCUAGAGCCUCAAGGAUCACUGCCCUCCAACACGAAGAACGAGAAAGAAAGAACAAAGGAGAGAUGUAAAGGCAUGGUAAAAAGUAGUAGAUAUGUUUGUCGAUUGUGUGUUGUUCAAUCGACCAUGAUCUUGCAUCUAUUUACGUGGCAGUUGGACUUCCCGUAGAAAAAAAGGACUCCAAAAUGUGUCCAAAAGUCUAAAACCCUAGCCUAACUCAAACUGGACCUACACGCAUGCCUUUCGAUCCGUUCGGAGCCUCCAAGUGGUUUCGCUCCGAAUUUUGCGGUAUACGUGGCAAACCUUCUAGACCCCACUUGGAAAUUUCGGUUGUCUCAUUCGAAACUUCUGAGUGAAAUGGGUGCUCCAUGGCCAGGUUUCUGUACUCCAACCGGAGCAUCCGAGUCAAUUCAAUUAGAAACUUUUGAGCUAACUCUAUAGCUUCUGUCUGAUACGUCUCCAACGUAUCUAUAAUUUUUGAUUGUUCCAUGCUAUUAUAUUAUCCAUCUUGGAUGUUUUAUAUACAUUUUAUAUGUUGUUUUAUAUGAUUUUUGGGACUAACCUAUUAACCUAGAGCCCAGUGCCUGUUUCUAUUUUUUUCCUUGUUUUUGAGUUUUACAGAAAAGGAAUACCAAACGGAGUCCAAUUGACGUGCCAAUUUUUGAUGAUUUUUUAUGGACCAAAAGAAGCCCCCGGAGUAAAAGAGUUGGGCCAAAAGAGUCCCGAGCCAUCCACGAGGGUGGAGGGCGGCCCUACCCCCUAGGCUCGCCCCCCUAUCUCGUGGAUGACUCGGAGACNNNNNNNNNNNNNNNNNNNNNNNNNNNNNNNNNNNNNNNNNNNNNNNNNNNNNNNNNNNNNNNNNNNNNNNNNNNNNNNNNNNNNNNNNNNNNNNNNNNNNNNNNNNNNNNNNNNNNNNNNNNNNNNNNNNNNNNNNNNNNNNNNNNNNNNNNNNNNNNNNNNNNNNNNNNNNNNNNNNNNNNNNNNNNNNNNNNNNNNAAAUUCCUAUAAAUACAGAAACCCCCAGAACAUAACCUAGAUCGGCAGUUCCACCGCCGCAAGCCUCUGUAGCCACCAAAAACAAAUCGAGACCCUGUUCCGGCACCCUGCCGAAGGGGGGAACCAUCACUGGUGGCCAUCUUCAUCAUUCCGGCGAUCUCCAUGACGAGGAGGGAGUAGUUCACCCUCGGGGCUGAGGGUAUGUACCAGUAGCUAUGUGUUUGAUCUCUCUCUCUCUCGUGUUCUUGAUUUGGCACGAUCUUGAUGUAUCGCGAGCUUUGCUAUUAUAGUUGGAUCUUAUGAUGUUUCUCCCCCUCUACUCUCUUGUAAUGGAUUGAGUUUUCCCUUUGAAGUAAUCUUAUCGGAUUGAGUCUUUAAGGAUUUGAGAACACUUGAUGUAUGUCUUGCAUGUGCUUAUCUGUGGUGACAAUGGGAUAUUCACGUGAUCUACUUGAUGUAUGUUUUGGUGAUCAACUUGCGGGUUCAGUGACCUUGUGAACUUAUGCAUAGGGGUUGGCACACGUUUUCGUCUUGACUCUCCGGUAGAAACUUUGGGGCACUAUUUGAAGUUCUUUGUGUUGGUUGAAUAGAUGAAUCUGAGAUUGUGUGAUGCAUAUCGUAUAAUCAUACCCUCGGAUACUUGAGGUGACAUUGGAGUAUCUAGGUGACAUUAGGGUUUUGGUUGAUUUGUGUCUUAAGGUGUUAUUCUAGUAUGAACUCUAGGAUAGAUCGAACGGAAAGAAUAGCUUCUUGUUAUUUUACUAUGGAUUCUUGAAUAGAUCGAUCAGAAAGGAUAACUUUGAGGUGGUUUCGUACCCUACAAUAAUCUCUUCGUUUGUUCUCCUCUAUUAGUGACUUUGGACUGACUCUUUGUUGCACGUUGAGGGAUAGUUAUAUGAUCCAGUUAUGUUAUUAUUGUUGAGAGAACUUGCACUAGUGAAAGUAUGAACCCUAGGCCUUGUUUCCUAGCAUUGCAGUACCGUUUACGCUCACUUUUACCACUUUCUACCUUGUUAUUUUUAUAAUUUCAGAUUACAAAAACCUAUAUUUACCAUCCAUAUUGCACUUGUAUCACCAUCUCUUCGCCAAACUAGUGCACUUAUACAAUUUAGCAUUGUAUUGGGUUUGUUGGGGACACAAGAGACUCUUUGUUAUUUGGUUGCAGGGUUGUUUGAGAGAGACCAUCUUCAUCCUACGCCUCCCACGGAUUGAUAAACCUUAGGUCAUCCACUUGAGGGAACUUUGCUACUAUCCUACAAACCUCUGCACUUGGAGGCCCAACAACGUCUACAAGAAGAAGGUUGUGUAGUAGACAUCAAGCUCUUUUCUGGCGCCGUUGCCGGGGAGGCUAGGUAAGCGGCACUAACACCUCGUCAACUAAGCUCUUUUCUGGCGCCGUUGCCGGGGAGGUUAGUGCUUGAAGGUAUAUCUUUAGAUCUUGCAAUUGAAUCUUUUUGUUUCUUGUUUUAUCACUAGUUUAGUCUAUAAAAGAAAACUACAAAACAAUGGAAUUGAGGGUGCCUCAUAUGCUUCAUCUUUUUAAUGUCUUUCGUGAAAAUGAUGGAAAGGAAAAUUGUGCUCAAGUGCUAGAAAAAGAAUGCAUUAGAAUGUUUGGCACUAAAUCUUUGUAUGAUGAGCAUGAUUGCAAUGUUGUUAGUAUGAAUUCCUUGAAUAUCCAUGAUGCUAAUGAUAUGCAAAGCCACAAGCUUGGGGAUGUUAUGAUUGAUGAAGAUGAUAUUUUUAGUCCCCCAAGUUUUGAUGAGCAAAUUUAUUAUGAUGAAAGCAUGCCUCCUAUUUAUGAUGAUUAUAUUGAUGAAAGUGGGUUUGGAAGAGUGUCAACUUUAGGAAGUAAUGAUCCCACUUUUUGGAGGAUGUUGAAUCUUAUUUUGAUAAUUAUAAAAGUGGAUUUGGAGAGGUCAUGACUAUAUUUAGUAAUGAUUCCACUAUCUUGGAAGAGGUUUCAAUUGAUUAUGAUGAGAACAAAGUUGCUACUUAUGAUGAUUAUUGUGAUGACACUUAUGUUAUAAAAAGUAGUGAUGAUUAUAUUUAUAAAAAUUGUCAUGAUUAUGAUUUCCCUUUUUCUGAACAUUAUUCUUUUAAUGUGGAAACAAUUUAUAGUAUUCGAGUUUCUUAUGAUACUCCCACUACUAUGAAUGUGAAGAAAUUCGCUUAUGUGGAGAGUAAUAAAUUUAUAUGCUCGUGCAUCAUGAAAAGAAUGCUUUAUGUGAUAGUUAUAUUGUUGAAUUUGACUCAUGAUGCUACUUAAAAUUAUUAUGAGGGAGGAAUAUAUGCUUGUAGAAGUUGCAAUAAUAUCAAGUUUCCUCUCUAUGUGCUUAAAAUCUUGAAGUUAUGCUUGUUUUGCUUUCCUAUGCUAGUUGAUCCUUGUUCCCAUAAAUUGUUUGCUCACAAAAUCCCUAUGCAUAGGAAAGUUAGACUUAAAUGUGCUAGUCAUAUUCUUCAUGAUGCUCUCUUUAUGUUUCAAUUCUUAUCUUUUACGUGAGCAUCAUUGAAAUCAUCAUGCCUAGCUAGGGGCGUUAAACGUUAGCGCUUGUUGGGAGGCAACCCAAUUUUAUUUUUGUUCUUUGCCUUUUGCUCCUGUUUAGUAAAAAAUAAUAUAUAUAGCCUCUGGUUAGAUGUGGUUUUAUGUUUUAAUUAGUGUUUGUGCCAAGUAGAACCUUUGGUAAGACUUGGGUGAAGUCUUUGCGAUCUUGCUGUAAAAACAGAAACUUUUGCGCUCACGAGAUUAGCUGUAAUUGUUUACUGGAGAGUGCUUUUAGGUUGAUUAUUUUUGCAGAUGAUUAAUAGACAAAUUCCUCACGUCCACCAAUUUAUUUCACAAUUUUUGGAGUUACAUAAGUAUUCGAAUGAUACAGAUUGCUACAAACUAUUCUGUUCUUGACAGAUUCUGUUUUCGAUGUGUUGUUUGCUUAUUUUGAUGAAUCUAUGAGUAGUAUCGGAGGGUAUGAACCAUAGAGAAGUUGUAAUGCAGUAUAUAUUACACCAAUAUGAAUUUAGAAUGAGUUCACAGUAGUACCUAAGUGGUGAUUUAUUUUCUUAUACUAACGGAGCUUACGAGUUUUCUGUUAAGUUUUGUGUUGUGAAGUUUUCAAGUUUUGGGUAAAGAUUCGAUGGACUGUGGAAUAAGGACUGGCAAGAGCCUAAGCUUGGGGAUGCCCAAGGCACCCCAAGGUAAUAUUAAGGACAACCAAGAGCCUAAUCUUGGGGAUGCCCCGGAUGGCAUCCCCUCUUUCGUCUUCGUUCAUCGGUAACCUUACUUGGAGCUAUAUUUUUAUUCACCACAUGAUAUGUGUUUUGCUUGGAGCGACAUUUUGUUUUAUUUUAUUUUGCUUGCUGUUUGAAUAAUAUCCCAAGAUCUAAAAUUCUUAAAUGUUAGAGAGUCUUCACAUAGUUACACAAUUAUUCGACUACUCAUUGAUCUUCACUUAUAUCUUUUGGAGUAGUUUGUCAUUUGCUCUAGUGCUUCACUUAUAUCUUUUUAAGAGCACGACGGUGGUUUUAUUUUGAAGAAAUAGAUGAACUCUCAUGCUUCAAUUAUAUUAUUUUGAGAGUCUUUUAGAACAGCAUGGUAAUUUUCUUUUGGUUAUGAAUUUAGUCCUAAUAUGAUAGGCAUCCAAGAAGGAUGUAAUAAAAACUUUCAUAUAAAGUGCAUUGAAUACUAUGAGAAGUUUGAUUCCUUAUGAUUGUUUUGAGAUAUGAAGAUGGUGAUAUUAGAGUCAUGCUAGUGAGUAGUUGUGAAUUUGAGAAAUACUUGUGUUGAGGUUUGUGAGUCCCGUAGCAUGCACGUAUGGUGAACCGUUAUGUAACGAAGUUGGAGCAUGAGAUAUUUUUUUAUUGUCUUCCUUAUGAGUGGCGGUCGGGGACGAGCGAUGGUCUUUUCCUACCAAUCUAUCCCCCUAGGAGCAUGCGCGUAGUACUUUGUUUCGAUGACUAAUAGAUUUUUGCAAUAAGUAUGUGAGUUCUUUAUGACUAAUGUUGAGUCCAUGGAUUAUACGCACUCUCACCCUUCCACCAUUGCUAGCCUCUCUUGUGCCGCGCAACUUUCGCCGGUACCAUACACCCACCAUAUACCUUCCUCAAAACAGCCACCAUACCUACCUAUUAUGGCAUUUCCACAGCCAUUCCGAGAUAUAUUGCCAUGCAACUUCCAUCGUUCCGUUUAUUAUGACACGCUCCAUCAUUGUCAUAUUGCUUUGCAUGAUCAAGUAGUUGACAUCGUAUUUGUGGCAAAGCCACCAUUCAUAUUUUUUUCAUACAUGUCACUCUUGAUUCGUUGCACAUCCCGGUACACCACCGGAGGCACUCAUAUAGAGUUAUAUUUUGUUCUAAGUAUCGAGUUGUAAUCCUUGAGUUGUAAAUAAAUAGAAGUGUGAUGAUCAUCAUUAUUAGAGCAUUGUCCCGUGUGAGGAAAAAAAGGGGAGGCCAAAGAAGCCAAUGAAAAAAAGAGAGAGGCCAAAGAAGCCAAACAAAAAAAGAGAGAAGGGACAAUGCUACUAUCCUUUUUCCACACUUGUGCUUCAAAGUAGCACCAUGAUCCUCAUGAUAGAGAGUCUCUUAUUUUGUCACUUUCAUAUACUAGUGGGAGUUUUCAUUAUAGAACUUGGCUUGUAUAUUCCAACGAUGGGCUUCCUCAAAUGCCCUAGGUCUUCAUGAGCAAGCAAGUUGGAUGCACACCCACUUAGUUUCUUUUGUUGAGCUUUCAUACAUUUAUAGCUCUAGUGCAUCCGUUGCAUGGCAAUCCCUACUCACUCACAUUGAUAUCUAUUGAUGGGCAUCUCCAUAGCCCGUUGAUACGCCUAGUUGAUGUGAGACUAUUUUCCUUUUUGUUGUCUUCUCCGCAACCACCAUUCUAUUGCACCCAUAGUGCUAUGUCCAUGGCUCAUGCUCAUGUAUUGCGUGAAGAUUUAAAAAGUUUGAGAACAUCAAAAGUAUGAAACAAUUGCUUGGCUUGUCAUCGGGGUUGUGCAUGAUUUGAAUAUUCUGUGUGAUGAAGAUCGAGCAUAGACAGACUAUAUGAAUUUGUAGGGAUAAGCUUUCUUUGGCAAUGUUAUUUUGAGAAGACAUGAUUACUUUGUUAGUAUGCUUGAAGUAUUAUUAUUUUUAUGUCAAUAUUAAACUUUUGUCUUGAAUCUUUUGGAUCUGAAUAUUCUUGCCACAAUAAAGAAGAUUACAUUGAUAAAUAUGUUAGGUAGCAUUCCACAUCAAAAAUUCUGUUUUUAUCAUUUACCUACUCGAGGACGAGCAGGAAUUAAGCUUGGGAUGCUUGAUACGUCUCCAACGUAUCUAUAAAUUUUGAUUGUUCCAUGCUAUUAUAUUAUCCAUCUUGGAUGUUUUAUAUGCAUUUAUAUGCUGUUUUAUAUGAUUUUUGGGACUAACCUAUUAACCUAGAGCCCAGUGCCAGUUUCCGUUUUUUUCCUUGUUUUUAAGUUUUAUAGAAAAGGAAUACCAAAUGGAGUCCAAUUGUCGUGCCAAUUUUUGAUGAUUUUUUAUGGACCAAAAGAAGCCCCCGGAGUAAAAGAGUUGGGCCACAAGAGUCCCGAGCCAUCCACGAGGGUGGAGGGCGCACCCUACCCCUUGGGCUCGCCCCCUAUCUCAUGGAUGACUCGGAGACCCCCUGACAUGAGACCGACGCCAAAAAUUCCUAUAAAUACAGAAACCCCCAGAACAUAACCUAGAUCGGGAGUUCCGCCGCCGCAAGCCUCUGUAGCCACCAAAAACCAAUCGGGGCCCUGUUUCGGCACCCUGCCGGAGGGGGGAACCAUCACCGGUGGCCAUCUUCAUCAUCCCGGCGAUCUCCAUGACGAGGAGGGAGUAGUUCACCCUCGGGGCUGAGGGUAUGUACCAGUAGCUAUGUGUUUGAUCUCUCUCUCUCUCUCUCGUGUUCUUGAUUUGGCACGAUCUUGAGGUUGUUUGAGAGAGACCAUCUUCAUCCUACGCCUCCCACGGUUUGAUAAACCUUAGGUCAUCCACUUGAGGGAAAUUUGCUACUGUCCUACAAACCUCUGCACUUGGAGGCCCAACAACGUCUACAAGAAGAAGGUUGUGUAGUAGACAUCACUGUCUCUCACCUUGUUGGGGCUCUAUAGGUUGCAUACAACAUCGAAUCAAGAUGGCCCGAUAAACAAAGUCAUUAGUUUCAAUGAUAUGAAGACUUCUCAAGUUGAAAUUCCAUUUAUUUGAGGUCAUGUUAAUUGAGUUUUCUGCCAUGCCAUAAUCUGAUGUCAACACGAGUAUCUCCGAAAUUGUCAUAACUUUCACAUCCGGGCUUCGUUUUGAUCCACCUCCAUAUCUAUUUCGAUCUUCUAGUAGAGGACCAUCCAAUAGUUUGACUUCAUAUAUAAAUUGAAGCCACUCUUUAAGAUCAUUCCACUUUUGAGCGUCAACAGCUUCGAUGCGCUAUCUGGUAGAGUGUAGCAUCCCAAAUUUUCAAUUUGGAAUGUUAUACAUAGGUCAUCAUAUGCAUAUCAUAUUUUAUUUGCAUUUCGGUUUUGAUCCUAGAAAUUCUAAGCAACUCAAGGACCCACAGAGAGAGUUGGGAUUUCGUUUUUUUCAUAUUUAAAUUUUCCUCAAAUAUUGAAAAGAGGAUCAUUUUGGUUUUAAUUAUUUUUCUCAACGAAAAUAUUUCCAAUAUGAAAAUAAAUGAGAGGAGAUAAUAUGACUUCUCCAAAAUAAAAGAAAUAUUGGAGGGAAAAUGUUAAAAUCAAAUAAAUAUAUUUAUUUGGAUUUUAUUGCUAUUUCAUUUGAAUUAGAAAAAUAUGCAUUUUUCAAAAUUGCAUUUUUAGGCCAAGAAAAUGUUCAAUUUGUUCUAAAUAUUUUAUUUAGAUGGUGAAAAUUAUUUUUGGCAUUUUUAGAAUUUUUAUUUAUUUAUUUAUGAUUUUUUUCCUUUUCCGCGGAAUUGUUUUUUUAUUUUAAAAAAAAGUUCCUGGGCCGAAGCCCAGCCGGCCCAGCCGCCAUCACCGCCUCCCUGCGCCAGCACCGCGCCCGAGCCGGACUCCGGCAGGAGUCCGGGACGCCCCCGCCGCCGCGGCUUGCCCCCUGGGCCAAGUCGGACCCCCCUCCCCUUUAAAUGCCGCCUCGCCGCCCCCUCCUCUCCUCAUCCCGCCCCGCCGCCUCAGCCCCGCCACCGAGCCGCCGCCGCCGCCGCGCCAUCCCGCAGCCGCGCCGGAGCCCCGCCNNNNNNNNNNNNNNNNNNNNNNNNNNNNNNNNNNNNNNNNNNNNNNNNNNNNNNNNNNNNNNNNNNNNNNNNNNNNNNNNNNNNNNNNNNNNNNNNNNNNNNNNNNNNNNNNNNNNNNNNNNNNNNNNNNNNNNNNNNNNNNNNNNNNNNNNNNNNNNNNNNNNNNNNNNNNNNNNNNNNNNNNNNNNNNNNNNNNNNNNNNNNNNNNNNNNNNNNNNNNNNNNNNNNNNNNNNNNNNNNNNNNNNNNNNNNNNNNNNNNNNNNNNNNNNNNNNNNNNNNUUCGGUCCGUCCCGGUUUUUUAGAAACCCUAGGUUCGAUUAGAUCGGUUUAGUUUUUUUAGAUCGGUUCGGUUCGGUUUUUUUCGGUUUCGUUACUUAGCGAGCGUCCGCUCGUUAGUUCGUUCUUAACGAACGCGUUCGCCUGUUCGCCUCUGUUAGAGAACAUUCGCGCCGUAGUCUUUUUCUUUUUAUUUUACUUAUUUUAUUUUUGGCCAAGGACCUAUCCACGAUUAUUUUUAUCGCGGAUUAGCCCCUGAUCUUCAGACCCUCACAACUUUUUAACCGUUCGUCCAAAUCCAGUGAAACCAACGCCAAAAUCUUCGUCUCGAGCCCCUCUUUCUGUUUAACUAACUUGAACAUGAUUUUGACAAUUUAAAAUUUGGUUUCAAGCAGAUUUGUAUUUGAAGUUUUUUUGACCGUAGUUUCAGUUCCGUAGCUCCGAUUUGACCGAUUCUUUUUGCAAAUCGAAUCUCUUCAGCUGAACUUUCAGAUUUGGAUCUUCUUAUUUUAGUUUUACCCUUGCAUCUAUGCUUGAGUGCUUAUGUAUGCUAUUGUUUGUUUGCGAUAGAAUUCACGGAGUGCGAAGCGUGCUACUACGAGUCUCUAGGGUUUGCGGAUCGUCAGCAAGGCAAGUAACGCAUUGAUCAUACCCCUUUAUUACCCAGUUUUUAUGCAUUAGUUACAGUCCUCCAACAUUGCAUGAUUAGGAUGUGAUUAACUUGUGGGUAUUGGGAAGUAGUUGAUGAGGUAGAACCUAUUGCCCUUUUAUUAUCAAACCCUUGGGUGUUACGUCUACGUUAUGCUUAUAUUGCCAUGCUAUGCUCGUAGACGUGGAUUGGGUUUGAGAGUAUCCAUGACAGAUGUGAGAUUAUUAAUGGUUAACUUAAGGUGGCUACUUAAAUACACAUCUGGGUGGAUUGGUUGCGGCCACCUGGAGAAUCCAGUGUUGUCCUAGGAUAUCCUGGAGUACCCAUGUGAUUAUCCUAUGGUUCGCCACCCAGGCUCAAAGGGAUCAUAAGAUUAUUCAUGCUAGAAACUUCCGUGUGCAGCCACAAGCUAUUAUGGGCUCUAGCAUAGUGGAGUAAGUUGCGUGACCUCUUUCAGUGGUGGGCUAGCAGAUGUAGGGAAAGUAGGUGUAACUGUCCACCCAGAGUAAAGAGUUAAUGCUUCUGAAAGACUGUGUCUUGGUCAUCCAUUUCUGAAAUAUCAUGUAGUGCGAGAAAUUCAACGGAGGAGAUCGAGUCUUGUGGGGAAAAGUGUGCAAACCUCUGCAGAGUGUACAAACUAAUCAUGGUUAGCCGUGUCCCCGGUUAUGGACAUCUUGAGUAUCUGGUUCUUGGAUUAUCAUGUUGAUCUCAUCACUCUAAUUAAUUUGUUGGAUGAUUAAUACUAUUUAAUUGGGAUUGAGUUGGAGGAACCUUCUCAAUGUUUAACAACUACCAUGAUAGUUAAACAAAAUAUAUUCCUUUGUUGUAGGAAAAAUUGGCUUUUCACAAAACAUUAUAACCAUAGAGCCUCCACCAGCCAUAUAUGCAUGUAGUGAUAGCAUUUAUUCUGUUCAUUGCUCUACUGUGUUAUAUUGCCAGCACAUUCCAUGUGCUGACCCAUUUCGGGCUGCAACAUAUCAUGUUGCAGACUUUUUAGAUGAAGAGUAAGGUGUGCUAGGUCGUUGUCGUGCACUCAGCUAUGCCGUUGGAGUUGAUGGACUCACUUUAUCUUCCAAGCCUUCCGUUGUUAUCUUAUUUAGAUGGCCUUAAGCCAUAUUUAUUGUAAUAAGUUCUCUUUUGAGACAUUCGAUGUAAUAAGUGUGUGAUUGAACUCUGUUAUAAAUCCUUCAAGUACUGUGUGUGUCAGCAUUAUCGAUCCAGGGAUGACACUUAAGCACAGAGAUUUGACCGUCUGAGGUCGGAUCGCUACAAGAUGGUCAGAGCACACGCUGAUUGUAGGACACGACCACUAAGAUGAGCCAUAGGUCACUCUUCUCUACUCAUUUCUGACUCCUCUCCAUUUUCUACUCUAUAGGAUGGCGGAUUCAAGGAACAAGUUUGCACAACCGGAUGAAGACAUACCCUUUGGAUGACACUUGAAGGAAGUCACUAGGUACCUGAACAUCGGAAUACCAAGCUUCACCGGGACCUACACCGCCACUUUGCCAGAAGAGGAGCAUUGGAUGAUUCGAGUUCAAGUUCCAGGAAGGAUAUUCACGCUAGUUACUGAGCCCAUAGAGUUUUCCUUUGAUGCCCCAACCUGGAGUCUAGGUAAGAGCAUGGCAGCCCACAUCGCCAUGGGACGCAUCGGCGAAGUUUAUCACAAAGACCUUAAGGACACCAUCUACCAGAUAUGUGGGCGCCGAGAUGAGCAAUGGGAGAUGAUCAGCACCAGAAGGGAUAGGUCCAUUGCAGCUUUCAUCCAGGAGUUAAACCAGCACAUUCGAUGCCAGGAGAACCAAAUGUGCGCAAGCAUGAUAGAUUUGAAGAAGGUGAUGACCAGGAACAUGGAGCUUGAAGAGGAACUCAAGUAUACACGCGGCGGAUACAAGGAGGAAAUCGCAAUACUAGUGGAGAAGAAUGACGACCUGACGAGGAAGCUAGGAGUAUUCAUGGGAGACCCCGCGCCAGGAGGAGAUGACGAUCAUCCCGAGGACUACAUCAUCAUCGAUGACACCGACCCCGACCCCGACAGUAGUGAUGAUGAUUAUGAAGACGAAGCUGGAGCGGAUAUCAUGGAGUCUUCCACCGAUCAAAAUUUCUAGUAGACCACCAUAUUACCAGUAGUAUUUCCCCAUGUAUAUAGUAGUAGUCCGAGCACUGUGACGAUAGUUAGAUCGAUUGUAAGCCCUUGUUUGAAUUGAUUAGGAGUUAUAUGAAUGUGUUUGUCUCAUGUGCAUAUGGGUAGUGCUUUCUCAUUAGACCUCAUUCUAUUCUAAUCUCUCCCCUCUAAACCAUCAGAUGCCUCUGAGACGUGACCCCGAAUUUGUCUUCCCACCGGAGCUCACUCAGUUGAUCUAGCAGCAGAAUGCCUUGAUGCAACUACUAGUCCAGAACCAAGGCAACAACAACAAUAACCCACCGCCACCACCUCCUGUUGACAACUUAGCCCAUUUUCUGAGGUUGCAGCCGCCGGUGUUUUUCAGUAGCACCGAACCAAUAGUUGCUGAUGACUGGCUACGCAGGAUUGGAAGGGAGUUGACUACCGCAGGUUGCACAGAUGCUGAGAAGGUGCGUUUUGCCGCACAUCAAUUGGAUGGACCCGCAGCCUCAUGGUGGGAGAAUUACACAGCCACUUUCCCUAUAGCCAAUGUCACUUGGGAGCAGUUUCAGCAAGCAUUCCGCACUGCUCAUGUCUCAACUGGAGCAAUGAGCAUGAAGAAGCGUGAGUUUCGCAAUUUACGCCAGGGAAAUCGUACUGUGGGGCAGUACGUGGAUGAGUUCAGUAAGUUAGCUCACUAUGCCCCAGAUGAUGUGGCCACAGAUGCCGCGAAGCAGGAGAAGUUUAUGGAAGGGCUGAAUGAUGAGAUGAGUAUGCGGUUAAUGGUGGCAACAUUUAAUAACUACCAGGAGUUGGUAGACAAGGCUCUUAUGAUUGUAGGGAAGCAACAGCAGAUGGAGAGCCGCAAAAGGAAGUAUGGACAAGGGAAGUACAAUUUAGGUGCUCAGCAGAAGCCUCGUUUUACCCCGAACUCGGGAGGAUAUACUCAUAACCAUGGAGGCCACACCCACAAUGGAGGAAGUUCACAUAACCACAGUGGCCCCAAGAACGGAAACGGGAAUGGAGCAGGCAGCAAUCAGAACCGCUCUAACCCAGCCACGCCCACCAAGAAGGAUCUAAGUCACAUUACUUGUUUCAAGUGCGGGAAGACUGGACACUACGCCAUCGAGUGUUCCGAAGCAAAGAAUGGUAACGGCAAUGGAAGCUCUGGGAAGAAGCCCAACCCUUUUAACAGGGGACAAGUGAACCACGUUAACGUGGAGGAGGUUGAAGAGCAGCCAGAUGCAGUUGUAGGUAAGUUUUUGGUUAAGUCAUUUACUGCAAUCGUUCUUUUUGAUACUGGUGCAUCACAUUCAUACAUUUCAAGGGGGUUUGUGGAUAAGUAUAAGUUGCCCACUAAAGUUCUUAGGACACCUAUGUUAGUAAGCUCGCCAGGAGCAGAGUAUAUGGCAAGCCAAGGAUGUUUUCAGAUGCCAUUGACCAUAGGUAGGCAUGUUUUCCCCUCAUACUUAAUAAUUUUGGAGUCGCAAGGAUUGGAUGUGAUACUAGGAAUGGAUUGGCUAUCGAUGUAUGGAGGAAACAUCGAUUGCGCCAGUAAGUCAAUUCUGCUCACCACCCCAGAGGGAAAAAGGAUUAAGUAUGUAUCUAGGCAUGCGCCUAGGAGGACCCAAGUAAAUUCUCUCACGGGAGUAGUUCAGGAGGAGGUGCCUGUAGUGAAGGAUUAUCCGGAUGUAUUUCCAGAGGAGCUACCAGGCAUGCCGCUGGAUCGAGACAUUGAAUUUUUUAUAGAGCUGUUGCCAGGCACCGGACCGAUAUCGAAGAGACCAUACCGGAUGCCCUCAAAUGAUCUGGAGGAGAUUAAGAAGCAUAUUAAGGAGUUAUUGGAGAAAGGUUACAUUCGACGAAGUUCGUAACCAUGGGGAGCCCCAGUGCUCUUGGUUGAGAAGAAGGAUGGAUCAUUGAGAAUGGUUGUUGAUUAUCGUGCGCUGAAUGAAGUGACGAUCAAGAACAAGUACCCAUUGCCGAUGAUCAAUGAUUUGUUUGACCAGUUGCAAGGAGCUAAAGUAUUUUCCAAGAUCGAUCUGCGAUCAGGAUACCACCAGUUGAAGAUUCGAGAACAGGAUAUACCUAAAACAGCCUUCACCACAAGGUACGGGCUAUAUGAGUAUACGAUUAUGUCAUUUGGAUUGACUAAUGCCCCUGCUUAUUUCAUGAGUAUGAUGAAUAAGGUGUUCAUGGAGUUCUUGGAUAAGUUUGUCGUGGUGUUCAUUGAUGAUAUUUUGGUAUACUCGAAAAAUGAAGAGGAACACAAGGAGCAUUUGCGUUUAGUUCUCAAGAAGCUCAGGGAACAUCAAUUAUAUACCAAGUUUAGCAAAUGCGAGUUUUGGUUGAAGGAAGUAGGAUUUAUUGGACAUGUUAUAUCAGGAGAAGGUAUAGCCGUGGAUCCUACCAAGGUUAAGUCAGUCACUGAUUGGCUAUCUCCCACCUCAGUUGGAGAGAUCCGCAGUUUUCUUGGACUCGCGGGAUAUUAUCGAAGAUUCAUUGAGAAUUUUUCUAAGAUUGCGAAGCCUAUGACGGAGUUGUUGAAGAAGGACAUCAAGUUCAAAUGGACAGAUGAAUGUGAGGCAAGUUUUCAGGAGUUGAAGAAAUGUUUGGUUACAGCCCCGGUGCUGAUUCUGCCAGAUAUACGCAAAGAUUUCCAAGUGUAUUGUGACGCUUCCCGCUUAGGACUUGGAGGUGUACUUAUGCAGGAUGGAAGAGUUGUUUCAUAUGCCUCACGUCAGCUUCGACCGCAUGAGUUAAAUUAUGCCACGCAUGAUUUGGAGUUAGCAGCUGUAGUGCAUGCGCUCAAGACCUGGAGACAUUUUCUUACUGGAAAUCGUUGUGACGUGUACACGGAUCAUAAGAGUUUAAAGUACAUUUUCACACAGAAGGAGCUGAAUCUCAGGCAAAGGAGAUGGUCGGAACUUAUAAAAGAUUAUGAUAUGAAGAUGUACUAUCAUCCAGGCAAGGCCAAUGUCGUAGCAGACGCUUUGAGCCGGAAGAGUUAUGCCAAUGCCCUCGUAAGCGGAGGAUUGCCAAAGGAGUUGGCCGAAGAUCUCAGGGAGCUUCAUUUGGAGAUAGUCCCUAGAGGUUUUGUUGCAACAUUGGAAGUUCAGUCGACUUUAUUGGGAAAGAUUCGAGAAGCUCAGAAGGAUGAUAAGGAUAUUGCCGAGUAUGUAGCCGUAUGUGAUGUAUGUCAGAGAGUGAAGGCAGAACAUCAGAAGCCUGCAGGGUUACUGUAGCCUAUGCUGGUACCCGAAUGGAAGUGGGAUAAGCUUGGCAUGGAUUUCAUCACCGGAUUGCCCAGGACCCGAUCGGGAUAUGAUUCUAUCUGGGUAGUAGUGGAUCUUUUGACCAAAGUGGCUCACUUUAUCCCAGUGAAAACCACCUAUGCGAGUGCAAAGUUGGCCAAGAUAUAUAUGACCAGGAUCGUAUGUCUGCAUGGAGUUCUGGAGACCAUCGUAUCGGAUAGAGGAACACAAUUUACUUCAAAGUUUUGGCAUCAGUUGCACCAGACUUUGGGUACCAGGCUGGAGUUCAGUACAGCCUUUCAUCCGCAGACAGAUGGGCAGACCGAGAGAGUCAAUCAGAUUCUAGAGGACAUGUUGAGAGCUUGUGCGCUAGAUUAUGGAUCUAGUUGGGAUGACAAUUUGCCUUACGCAGAGUUCUCAUACAACAACAGUUAUCAAGCCAGUUUGAAGAUGGCACCUUUCGAAGCUUUGUACGGAAGGAGGUGCAGGACACCGUUGAUGUGGGAUGAAGUUGUAGACCGUCAGUUGUUUGGACCAGACUUGAUCAAAGAGUCCGAAGAGAAGGUUAAGUUGAUUCGGGAUAGACUGAAGGUAGCUCAGUCCAGGCAGAAGAGUUAUGCAGAGGAGACAUAGCAUAUCUUCGUGUGUCACCUCUGCGAGGAGAUAAACGUUUUGGAGUUAAGGGAAAGUUAGCCCCGAGAUUUGUAGGACCAUACCGAGUUUUGGAACGUAUGGGAGAAGUGGCCUACAAGUUGGAAUUACCCGAAGGACUGUCCGGAGUUCAUGAUGUGUUUCACGUUUCUCAGUUGAAGAAGUGCCAUGCUGAGAUGGCCGAUAUUCCUCUGAGGGAUACAGUGCCCCUGGAAGCAAUUCAGUUCGAUAGUGAUCUAACCUAUGAGGAGAAACCUGUCAAGAUUCUCGAGUUUGCCAGCCGAGUUACACGCAGCAGGGUUAUCAAGUUUUGCAAAGUUUAGUGGAGCACCAUACCGAGGAUGAAGCCACCUAGGAACAAGAGGAAGAUCUACGGAAAGACCACCCACACCUAUUUUCUAGCCAACCCGAAUCUCGAGGGCGAGAUUCACCUUAAGGGGGGUAGGUUUGUAACAUCCCAAAUUUUCAAUUUGGAAUGUUAUACAUAGGUCAUCAUAUGCAUAUCAUAUUUUAUUUGCAUUUCGGUUUUGAUCCUAGAAAUUCUAAGCAACUCAAGGACCCACAGAGAGAGUUGGGGAUUUCGUUUGUUUUCAUAUUUGAAUUUUCCUCAAAUAUUGAAAUGAGGAUCAUUUUGGUUUUAAUUAUUUUUCUCUCCGAAAAUAUUUCCAAUAUAAAAAUAAAUGAGAGGAGAUAAUAUGACUUCUCCAAAAUAAAAGAAAUAUUGGAGGAAAAUGUUAAAAUCAAAUAAAUAAAUUAUUUGGAUUUUAUUGCUAUUUUAUUUGAAUUAGAAAAAUAUGCAUUUUCCAAAAUUGCAUUUUUAGGCCAAGAAAAUGUCCACUUUGUUCUAAAUAUUUUAUUUAGAUAGUGAAAAUUGUUUUUGGCAUUUUUAGAUUUUUUAUUUAUUUAUUUAGGACUUUUUUUCCUUUUUGGGGGAAUUGUUUUUUUUAGUUCCUGGACCGAACUGGGCCGAAGCCCAGCCGGCCCAGCCGCCGUCACCGCCUCCCCGUGCCAGCACUGCGCUCGAGCCGGACUCCGACAGGAGUNNNNNNNNNNNNNNNNNNNNNNNNNNNNNNNNNNNNNNNNNNNNNNNNNNNNNNNNNNNNNNNNNNNNNNNNNNNNNNNNNNNNNNNNNNNNNNNNNNNNNNNNNNNNNNNNNNNNNNNNNNNNNNNNNNNNNNNNNNNNNNNNNNNNNNNNNNNNNNNNNNNNNNNNNNNNNNNNNNNNNNNNNNNNNNNNNNNNNNNNNNNNNNNNNNNNNNNNNNNNNNNNNNNNNNNNNNNNNNNNNNNNNNNNNNNNNNNNNNNNNNNNNNNNNNNNNNNNNNNNNNNNNNNNNNNNNNNNNNNNNNNNNNNNNNNNNNNNNNNNNNNNNNNNNNNNNNNNNNNNNNNNNNNNNNNNNNNNNNNNNNNNNNNNNNNNNNNNNNNNNNNNNNNNNNNNNNUUGCCGCCGCCGCUGCAAGCCACCGCCGCCGCCCGCGCCAUCUCGCAGCCGCGCAGGAGCCCCGCCGCCUCGCCUCGCCGUCGCGGACUCGCGCCGCCGCCGCCGCCGUUCGGUUCCCGCUCGCCGCCGCCGGGUUUUUUCCGGUCCGUCCCGGUUUCUUUAGAAACCCUAGGUUCGGUUUUUUUAGAUCGGUUCGGUUCGUUUUUUUGGUUUCGUUACUUAGCGAGCGUCCGCUCGUUAGUUCGUUCUUAACGAACGCGUUCGCCCAUUCGUCUCUGUUAGCGAACGUUCGCGCCGUAGUCUUUUUUUAUUUUAUUUAUUUUAUUUUUCGGUCAGGGACCUAUCCGCGAUUAUUUUUAUCACAGAUUAGCCCCUGAUCUUCAGACCCUUGCAACUUUUUAACCGUUCGUCCAAAUCCAGUGAAACCAACGCCAAAAUCUUCAUCUCGAGCCUCUCUUUCUGUUUAACCAACUUGAACAUGAUUUUGACAAUUUAAAAUUUGGUUUCAAGCAGAUUUGUAUUCGAAGUUCUUUUGACCGUAGUUUCAGUUCCGUAGCUCCGAUUUGACCGAUUCUUUUUCCAAAUCGAAUCUCUUCAGUUGAACUUUCAGAUUUGGAUCUUCUUAUUUGAGUUUUACCCUUGCAUCUAUGCUUGAGUGCUUAUGUAUGCUAUUGUUUGUUUGCGAUAGAAUUCCCGGAGUGUGAAGCGUGCCACUACGAGUCUCUAGGGUUUGCGGAUCGUCAGCAAGGCAAGUAACACAUUGAUCAUACCCCUUUAUUACCCGGUUUUAUGCAUUAGUUACAGUCCUCCAACAUUGCAUGAUUAGGAUGUGAUUAACUUGUGGGUAUUGGGAAGUAGUUGAUGAGGUAGAACCUAUUGCCCUUUUAUUAUCAAACCCUUGGGUGUUACAUCUACGUUAUGCUUAUAUUGCCAUGCUAUGCUCGUAGACGUGGAUUGGGUCUGAGAGUAUCCAUGACAGAUGUGAGAUUAUUAAUGGUUAACUUAAGGUGGCUACUUAAAUAUACAUUUGGGUGGAUUGGUUGCGGGCACCUAGAGAAUCCAGUGUUGUCCUAGGAUAUCCCGGAGUACCCAUGUGAUCAUCCUAUGGUUCGCCACCCAGGCUCAAAGGGAUCAUAAGAUUAUUCAUGCUAGAAACUUCCCAGUGCAGCCACAAGCUAUUAUGGGCUCUAGCAUAGUGGAGUAAGUUGCAUGACCUCUUUCAGUGGUGGGCUAGCAGAUGUAGGGGAAAGUAGGUGUAAUUGUCCACCAAGAGUAAAGAGUUAAUGCUUCUGAAAGACUGUGUCUCGGUCAUCCGUUUCUCAAACAUCAUGCAGUGCAAGAAAUUCAACGGAGGAGAUCGAGUCUUGUGGGGAAAAGUGUGCAAACCUCUGCAGAGUGUACAAACUAAUCAUGGUUAGCCGUGUCCCCGGUUAUGGACAUCUUGAGUAUCUGGUUCUUGGAUUAUCAUGUUGAUCUCAUCACUCUAAUUAAUUUGUUGGGUGAUUAAUACUAUUUAAUUGGGAUUGAGUUGGAGGAACCUUCUCAAUGUUUAACAACUACUAUGAUAGUUAAACAAAAUAUAUUCCUUUGUUGUAGGAAAAAAUUGGCUUUUCGCAAAACAUUAUAACCAUAGAGCCUCCACCAGCCAUAUAUGCAUGUAGUGAUAGCAUUUAUUCUGUUCAUUGCUCUACUGUGUUAUAUUGCCAGCAUAUUCCAUGUGCUGACCCGUUUCGGGUUGCAGACUUUUCAGACGAAGAGUAAGGUGCGCUAGGUCGUUGUCGUGCACUCAGUUAUGCCGUUGGAGUUGAUGGACUCACUUUAUCUUCCAAGCCUUCUGUUGUUAUCUUAUUUAGAUGGUCUUAAGCCAUAUUUAUUGUAAUAAGUUCUCUUUUGAGACAUUCGAUGUAAUAAGUGUGUGAUUGAACUCUGUUACAAAUCCUUCAAGUACUGUGUGUGUCGGCAUUACCGAUCCAGGGAUGACACUUAAGCACAGAGAUUUGACCGUCUGAGGUCGGAUCGCUACAUAGAGUAUCCACAACAGCGUGAUGGAGUAGGAUGUCUUCUGGUCACGCUCCAUGUGGUAUCAGUUCAAGUAGGAGGCAAGUGGACCUUGGGCGCGAUGUGGGCGGUGUACAUGGUGCCCACCGCCCCAGGCACAUAGGAGUUGGCCCUGAAGCUAGCCUUGACAAGGGCGGUGGUGUGGAGUCAUGGACUUGGCCAUUGGAGGAACGGUGACAUACGCACACGGCCGCACGCUGUUGGACAGGAAAGGCGGCGCCAAACGUCGUGUCCUCCUUGGCGAUCUGGAGGUGGUCGCAUCGUCGAUAGUUAAGCCGUGUCGCGCAUGUCGGCUAUGGUCUGCUUCAAUACUAGACCUGGUUGAGACCCCCACAUGUGUUUGUGUAUAGAAAUUGCGUGGGGAUUAAAUUUAGGGGAUCUUGUUAUGACUGAUAGUAUAUCGACCAGAGGGGGGUGAAUGGGAGAUUCGAAAAUUCUUGCGAAUGUUUGGAAUCGAGCCCAAACACAUCAGCGGAAAAUAUUUGGCAGCAAAGAAAUUAAACAAGUAUCCCGCUGAAGAACAUAUCUUUCAAGAUAGGAAGAAAUGAUCGCUCGAGCAUAGUAGAGAAUUGGCUUAACUAUCAUGAUGGUAAUGUAGUACACAAUCAGUUGCAAUAGAAUGGAUGAAAACAAGCGGUAAACUGCGAAGCAAAACCUACCAAGGAAGAAUCUAGAAUGCACCAAAAGUAAGCUAAACUGAGCAAGAUAUGAUUAAAUUAUUAUGAGCGAAAGAUAACAGAUCGAGGGGUCAUAUCGACACCGAGCAAGGAAAUAAACUAUUGAAAGUAUUGCAGGAUAGUGAAGUGAACCAGUGGUGCUCGAUGGCGACAGACAGAUUUGGUAGACCAGUUCGCCCUUCUGCCAAAGGACUACGUCUGGUUGGAGGGAAUUGUGAUUGAACACAGGAGCAAACCUCUCUCCGUCCUAUUCUCCUUCAACUUGAAGCUGACCAGACUCUAGUUGAUUUAACUCGUGGUAGAUACUUGUCAGCGAUCUCCAAACCUUUGACAAACUUCUUCGCGAACCACAAUGACUAUUGGUUGAGGAUAAUUACUCUUCGUCACUCAAGCUGACACUUAUCCGUCUAGAAAGUGCGCAACUCUCAAGAGUAAUAGGUACAAGAACUCUAAAUUAGAACUACUGUGAUGCUCAACCACUGUCUAAGUUUUGGCUCUUGGUUUUCUCUCGGUGGAUUUUAAACUCAAAUCUCUCGGCGAGGGGGUGCUCAAUCAAUCUUCUUAGAAAUCUUAAGCGAAGCAGCCAAUGGACAAUGUUGGAGCGGGGUGGAUAUUUAUAGCCGCACCCUCUUCCCUGAUGUGAAAUGACCAAAUUGGACAUGUGGGACAACCAAUGGCUGAACGACACGAGUCCAACGAUCGGAAUUUGAGCACAACCGUAACAUUUCUUCCGAAGUAAGAAAUGCUAACUCCUCGGUCCGAAAGAUAUCUCCUGCAACACCGAAGAACUAGGUCUUCUGCUGACAGGUAAUCAUUCAGAGCAUAAAGAGAUUUCUCUCAGUCUUGCGUAGGUUUGGACUAAGUAUCACAAUGGAUCUAAGCUUCGAGAACUUAUACCCCCUCUUAAUAGUACGGAGGUCCUAUGACUCAAAAUGGAAAGAAGAACAACAGAAUGAAUGCUACGUCCUCACUUUUCCUUCGAUCUUCUCAGUUGUAGUCAAUAUUUCUUCGGAUGAACACUGAACCCAAUUGCUUCACGUCAACAAUAAUUUUGAAGGGGCUAACUUCUUUACAUCAAUCUUCUCACCUACACGGCUUCGAAUGAUAUAACUGAAUCAUCUCUGUAACACAGAUGUUCUUCGGUGAAGUUCCUCGAACUUGACACCAAAGGUAGCAUUCUCUUCGUUUCUGCAUGGACUAUUUUUCUCUGUAUGCACUAGCAAUCAAAUCAGUCCAUGCCUAUUUCUAUCAACAAUCUCCAAAACACAAGAGGGCAAAUAUUGCAUCAACAGGUCUACUAGAUGAAGAAAAGUUCAAUUAAAAGAAUACUCUCUCCGUUCACAAAUAUAAGAUGUUUUGGAUAUUUUAAUAUGGACUAUAUCGCAGUAAAAUGGGAGAACAAACACAUUCAAACGUGUCUACAUACAUCCUAUUCAAAAAAUUAGAACAUCUUAUAGUUUCCCAAAUGAUAAGUGACACAUGUGUGGCACUAAGUAACACUGCCCUAAUGACAACUAAAAUUGUCAUCCAAAAAACGAAACCCCAAAAAACUGAAACUUGUCAUCCAAACAGAAAAUUGUCAUGCUUCACAACUAAAGUUGCCAUACCCGAGUAACUAAAAUAUCAUCAAAAAACGUCAUGGCGGAAUUGCUCGUGUCACACGUGUGACACUUGCUAGAUUCCUAUAGUUUUUAUUAAAGGAUGAAGAUAUGACGGGGUUAAAAAUUGAAGGAUCUACCAGAGAUAAAGGGUGCUGAAUGAGCACUUCACUCAAGGACUAAAAUGAGUAUUCUCUUACAAAUACAAUAACCGUAACUAUAUACUAUGUAUUUCAUUCAACGAAUACCCUGCCCUUGGCCAUACAACCGUCGGACGUAGCGAACCAACCUGUUGUUGGAUGGUUAGAGGGACAGUGAUAUCCCCAACCCAUCAGGGUUCAAGUCCUAGUGCUUACAUUAUUUUUUGAUUUAUUUUAGGAUUUCCGGCGAUGCGUUUUCAGUGAAAGGAGACGUCUCCGUCGACAACGAGACGUUUAUGGCGACUUCGUAAAUCUCGAGAUGACAUGCCAUCUCAAUCUCUCUCGAAGGUGUUUAUAGAGAUAUGGUGUGCGUGUUUUCGUAGGGUGAGUGUCGAACUUAACUAAUGCCCACAUGCAUAUAUCCAGUUCACCAAUGAUUGACACCGUGCAGGAAAGUAAACAGACAUAGACCGUAACUACGAGGGGCUUAACGCGAAAGGCACAAACACAAAUCGUUUAUUUUCGUUUACACGCACACACAAUUGUUGUAGGAUACACGUUGAGUUUUCUGGAGAUUUUAACGUGUCCCUCCCGUCUCCCCCUCAGCUACCAACUCGCCCGUCAUCUUCGUCUCCCUCAUCACGCGAAAUCCAAAUCCAAACGAAAGAAAAUCCCCAAAUCCUAAGUCUUCUCCGAACCUGAUCCUCCCGCGCCGCCCGAUUCGAUCCGGCGCCGGGCCGCCGAUCCCCUGCGGCGGCAUGGAGGGGGCCGAUCGCCUGUACCCCUCGGUCGAGCCGUACGACCUCGAGCCCCCGCAGCUCGACGACGCCGCCGCCGCCGCCGUCGGCACUGGCGAGGCUAGGGUUUGCGACCCGCCGGUGAGGUGGGACGAGGAGCCCAAGGAGGUAAAAAUCGAGCUGCCCCUCUCCGAUUGCGUUCGCCUUCUCUGUAGAUUGGAAUAGCCGGGUUGCGUGAUGGGUUGUAUCUGGGCUGGAUUGCAAUUGCGGAGUCUCGCGCCUGGUUAGCCGUAGCAUUGGCGUGUUAAGGAUUGCCGUGUUGGGUGUUUAUAGGAUCAAGGAGCAGAACGCUUCGUGAAAAGGUACGGAUUUUAGGUUCGUGCUGGCUGCACGUGCACUUCUAUCGGCGCGGGGAGUAGCAGCUGUCACGUGUUGUUGGGGAUGUUGAGGGUCUGAGCGGUUGAAAUUCUUGCCUUUGCACUUGCGUUUUGGGUUGAAGCUUGUUGUGGCUGCGGUCUGAAGGAUUGCCAUUCGGAUUGACACACAAAAUGCAUCUUUUCCAAUCAGGUUUUGUUCUUUUGGACUGUUUUCUACUUAGUUUAGAAUAGGUGAGUGGUGAGCUGUAUGUUAUAUGUGCCGCUCUAUAAGGAAAUGUGGGGAGAUAAAUUUUUUGUCUUCUAUUCUAUGUUUAGAAGCAUGGAUGCAUAUUUUUGGAAAUGCAUGCCUUGCCUAUGAUCAAUAAAUGGGAGUUCCUUACAUAGUAUGAAGUUGACUAUAACUCAUUUUCUUUCCAAUUCAUGCCCAUAAUCGUAUUUGUAUACAAUUGUUACUGUGGACAUAUUUAAAAUAAUGCUGUGAUUUCUUGUUAAAUCAGGGAACCCAUGUAUGCGAGCAAGGGGCGAAAGAUAAUCCUGACAGAGAUGACAUGGAAGACCACCUUAGUGUUGUCAAUAUUUAUGAGAGCGAUGACGAAAUGGCCACCUUCAAGGGAUCAGGAGAAAACAUCCAUUCUGAUUGCCCACUUCGUCAACAAACUGGCAUCUGGGUACCUCCUUCUGUUCCACCGAUGACAAAACAUGAUCAUGAGGAGUGGCAAAAGGGCUUUGUCUCAAAUGCUGGGUACUUCAUAGAAGACGAAUACAAGUGGGAUGUGGAUGAAGACAUCAGGGAGAUGACAAUGUGGGAUGUGUUUGCUGAGAUGGCUGUUGCAGGAAAAGAUAAAUUAUUAUCUGUUGCAUCAUAUGAUUUUGGGAGGCAUAGCAUGUCUCUAGUUUCACACUUCCUUCUUCAAGCGGCUUUGGAGGAUAACUCUCAAACACUUGCAGAGGCCAGUGUUGGUUCUGAACAUGCCCUGCUUGAGACAGAACCGACAAAGUGGUUGCCUGAUAGUGCUGCUCCUUCUUGCAUGCUUUGUGGAGUGCGCUUCCAUCCAGUAAUUUGCUCUCGCCAUCAUUGUCGUUUUUGUGGUGGGAUAUUCUGUGGCGGCUGUUCAAAGGGUAGAAGCUUGAUGCCUCCAAAAUUCGGAACUUCAGAUCCUCAAAGGGUCUGUGAUGUUUGUGGAGUACGUCUUGAGUGUAUUCAGCCUUACUUGAUGAACCAGAUAAGUCGUGCUUGUCAACUUCCGACUAAAGAUUUGACAGACCUGAGCACCUUGAGGUCAUGGUUAAACCUCCCAUGGGCACCAACGAUGGAGUAUGAGAUAUACAAGGCUGCAAAUUCCAUACAUGGGUAUUGUAAGGUAUGCCUAUUCUAUAAUUUAGUACCUGUUUAUGUUCACUAUAAUUUGGUCCAGCUAGUUAUUUGGGAUCAACUAGAACACUACUCACCAAGCUUUCCAUGAUUAAAUGCAUUUUUUAGGUUGGAAAGCUGAAUCCAGAGAAGUCCAUUCCUGAUUCAAUUCUUAGACAAGCAAAGGGACUUGCUAUAAUUACUGUGGUAAAGGUUGGAAUGAUGGUCACGUACAAAAUUGGUACUGGGCUGGUUAUUGCUCGCAGAGCUGAUGGUUCUUGGUCUCCUCCUUCGGCCAUAUCUACUUGUGGUGUUGGAUAUGGAGCUCAGGUCAGUGGCCUCUCAAGUGUUCUAUUUCCAACAAAGAAGCUUGUGUAUUAUUAUAAAGUCCUGAUAGCAUAUGGACUAUUUCCCGGCAUUCUGCAUUUCAGGCUGGCGCUGAGUUAGCUGACUUCAUCAUUGUUCUGAGGAACACUGAUGCAAUUAAAACAUUCAGUGGAAAUGCACAUCUGUCACUUGGGGCUGGUUUCGGUGCUGCUGCUGGUCAUCUUGGACGGGUGGCAGAGGCUGAUUUCCGUGCCGGUGAUGGUGGUUAUGCUGCCUGUUACACAUACAGUUGUAGCAAAGGUAUGGCUGAAAUCAUCAGUAGCUGAGCAGGACUUGACUUCGUUCUAUUAAUUUUAUCUGUUCAAAUUUCUCCUGGGCUAUAUUUUUCCAAUUUGCUGAUUCUGUUUAAAAACCAGGGCGGCAAAAAGAUGGAAACAAUUUCUCUUGAGUUUCACUUAGUUCGUAGAGUAGAUGCGACUUUGCCAGGUCCCUUUAUUUUUAGUUUUGAAUGAUGAAUACUAAUCUGUGUGUGUUUUACAUUAUUAACCAUUAUCUCCUUAUUUCACAUUAAACUUGGCAUUGUUGAUUCUGCCAAAUUGGUAACUUUUACAAAUAGCUUUUAUAACUCGGGAACUAUUAGUCACCCAGCAAUAUAUAAUCAGAUAUUAUUGAGUUUUAUUGUGAUUGUCUGUAAAAGUAGUUUGAUGUUUAAACAUAUAUCCAACAUUCCUGAAGCCUCUGGCUUCUUAUGAUAAUUUAUGAUCUAGACCAAGAAUUGUAUUCCUGAGAAAAUGGUCCAUAGACCUUUAGGCUUUAGCCAUGUUACGUUAUGCGGUGGCCACAUACCUGGUUAUUGGUAUCUCCUAUGGCCAAAUAUACACUAGUGUAUUCAAAUUUGUACUUCUGUCCUCUGGGCAGUUGAACAAAAUGAAAUCGUGAUGGUCAAGUUUUGCAACUGCUGGUUUCCACAUUUCUAGCAGCACAUUCAGACAACUUGUUAAAUUAACAUGUGGUAUAGAAGUAUCUGAGUAACAAAUAGUUACAUAUAAGUUGGACUGCAUUUGGGGUGGCACGAACGGAUAGGAUGACAGCAUGUAUGGAUGGUUUUAACUACACACAGAUAGUGGUACAAUCUUCUUAAACACGGAGUACUUUAAAUCUGUAGCAACGCACCAACAUGUGCUAUAACUCGCAAAAUGUAUUUGUGUAUCUUUGUGGCUGAAAACCGUGACAUAGCAUGCAGUUUAUGUUGCUCAAUUCUGACGUCUUGAACUGAAAAAAGUGCAGUUGUACUUUGUACCGUUUUAUCAGUAUUAGCUGUGUAAUUAUUUGCUUCUGUAAACAGUUAUUAGUAUAAUUAUUGGGUAUCAUUUCACAAUGAUAUGUUCAAUAUUGUACUACCUCAUGAUUUUUUUUAGCUAGUUUAGCCUACAAAAACAUCUUAUAUUUCGAUACGAAGGUAAUUGCAUAUAUGACCUUUUAUGAUUUCAGUUAUUACAAAAGCUGGGUGCAUACUGAUGUCCAACUAAAUGUAGUUCUUUUAUAAUGUUUGUUUGGAAUGUUACAUUUGUACCAUUGGUGACAAUGAUGAGUACAUCUGGUAAUCUCUACUGGAUCGGUCAUACACAGUUUCUGUUUCGCUCACUUCUGAUGCUUACAUCUUUUUCUUUCUCUGGCAGGCGCCUUUGUGGGAUGCGCACUCAAUGGAAGUGUAGUAUCAACCCGAAACAACGAAAAUGCCCGAUUCUAUGGCGGUCCAGUCAAGGCAUCAGAAAUCCUUCUUGGUUCACUGCCCAAGCCACCUGCGGCCGCCACUCUCUAUAAAGCUCUAUCCACACUAUUUGAUAAGAUCGGAAAGUAAUCUUCGUCUUUUCAUGUGGUGACACACAUUGUGUCCCUGUUGGUCGUCACCUUUCGAGCUUCAGUGUCUCUCUAGGUAAUUUGCUUGUUUGCUAAUUCCUGGGUGUCAGUCAAGCAACUGUACAGUUUGCCAUUCGUUGGUACGUCAAACAGGUCAUCUAUCCAGUGCCAGAAACUACUCUGUAAAUGUUGUACAUAUGAUCACAAUUGCGCGAGAAAUGAAAAGGGAAAGAAACUUCUUCAUCAGUCUUGCCCUUGAUUGAAACUUGUCUGGCAUCUUACUGUUGCAAUAUGAGCAACAUACUCGUCUUUGUUUUACCUAGACCACCUAUCGGCAUCUCGGCCUGCCACUGUUAUUUUGGGUAUAUUUUUAAUGAAAUGCAUGAUUGUCAUGUCCUUGAAUCAAUUUCUAUCUAUACAUCACAGGAAGUAUAGCAAAAAGGACCUGUAGGUUCAUGUAAAGUGUUUGAAACCUGUGAUGGUGUAAAUUAUUUGCUUCUGGCGGUGCCGUACAUGAACAUGCACACUGGGAUGUUAAUUUUGCCACUAGCCAGUUUUAUCAUUUUUUUCGAGGGUACGCCAAAAGCGUGCCUUAGCUUUAUAGAAGAGAAAAAAUAUGUACAAGAGGUUACAAUAGCGCUGGUUAAGAGUCACAUCCAACCCUAACCAAGCCUCCAUUUCACUCCUCACGCUACUCUACUACUCGGCUACACAUUGUCCUCCAAACGCUCCUGCCGUGGCCCAAGUCCUCAAGUCGUCGAAGAUCAUAUCCACCGUAUCCCACUCGUUCUUGAUCUGGCCCGAUCCGAACACCCCCCGCGUUCCUCUGUUUCCAUAGUGUCCAGCAGGUAAGCAUUACAAAUGUGUCGAAUCUUUUCCGAGUUUGCUUGUGUAUUCGCUUUCUGGCUUCUGACCACCAUUGCACCAACCUAGAAUCAUUUGUUGGGCAAAGCUCCAUCCUCAAUCCCAUCCUAGCAAUGCAACUAGACCACACUUGCCGCGAGAACACACACUGCUACAAAAAUAUGGUCGACCGUGUCUUCCUCCUGGUCACAUAGGCAACAUUUUGACGUUUGGUCUUGCAACCCAUGUCUAGUCCUUCUAUCCGCCGUCCAUAAUCGAUAUUGCACUGCCAGCCACAUGAAAAUCUUACACGCAAGAGGUGCCCAACAUUUUCAGAUGGCUCCGAAAGAGUGGAAACGAACUCUUCCCUCACAAAGCAUCUUAUAAGCUGAAGAUGCAGAGUAGACUCCGGACACAUUCCACGCCCAGAUGGGGCUGUCCUCAGUCUGACCGUCAAGUUGCACCUCCGAAAUGAUCUGCCAAAGUCCGAUGAACUGGGCUAGCCCCUCCGUGCAUAAGUUACCCACCACAUCAUUCAUCCAUGCGUGCAUGCACAUAGCAUCGCGCACCAACCUCUUAUUGGCCACUUGGGUACGGACAGUCGCCGCGACCAGAGGGGCAAUAUCCGUGAUGGUUGCACCAUGGAGCCACCGAUCUUUCCAAAACAGUAUUUUUCUCUCCCGCUCCCACCUUCCAUUUGACCAGGCUCCCGAAAGUUUGAUUUACCUUUUUGUCCGCGGUCAAGUUGAAACCCUGCCAAGGCCUGGUAGCUUCCGUACGUCGGAGCCAUUCCCAUCUUAAUCUUAGAGCAAUGCUAUGCUUAAAGAGAUCAAUGACGCCCAAGCCAGUUUUAUCAUGAUGGCAAUAGAUGGUAGCAUGUACUGCGUGAGACCUUAUUGUGGGGCUUGCGGCUGCGGCCAGCUUUUUUCAGUUGGCUGCCGCUGACCCAUCAUGACGGCAGGCCUGCAUGGAGAUUGUGCCAUGGAGGUGCCGGUGUGCUACUCGGAUUCUGAUCUGACAUGCUUGGAUCAAGCUGGUCGCAUAAUCAUCACAAACCCUGCUCACACUCGACGAAAGUUGAGGCCGUCAUACCUGUAGCUAAUUAAUACAGUAUGUUCAUUUGAUCUAAAAAGAAGGACAAACUGUCAGUCAAAGGUUGCUGUUUUAGAUCUGAUAAUGAGCUCUUCCAGCCAGACGGCCGAUCCGGUGCUGCGUUUUCGUCGGGCUAGCAUUCGACCAACCGUUGAGAGUGAUGAAUCCAACCCAACGAUGUCUAUCUAGUUGGACUAAUAUAAUCCGACGAACCCACGUACACCAAUCUAUCCGAGAAUAAUCUCGGACGGGUAAACCGUUGCGCAAACAAUACUACAGUGCAAUGCAAAGGCCUUUCAGCUGGCCUGUCUACUGCACGUUCACCGCAUGGCCUACUGCUGGUGUUGUUCGAUCUGAAGCACUAAUUUUUUGAGACAAGAGUCAUGAUUAGCUGGGGCCUGGGGUAUGGGGUCAGGGGUCCAGGCAGGCCAGGGAGUCGCAGGACUGGAGGACGGGCGGGCUAUGAUUGGUGGCAGCUGAGACCGGCGGCGAGGCUGCACGGCAGCGUUGCCGGCCGCCAUGGCGGCGGCAGCCGAAAGAGAUCAUGGCAGGGAAAGAAAGACACUAGUACUCAACUGUACGGUAGUUUUCUUGUUUAAACACCUCCAAGAUCCAAGCAAAACCUCUGCCUGGAAACAUAAUGUUGUGGGGAAAUAUACCCAAGACAAAACCUGGCAGGCUGUGGUGAUCAGUAGGGAAACUACCACAAAAGUGACAAGGUUUCAGCCACUGAGCUACCAAUGGGACUCGCCUUCCCUGGAAAAGGAGAUCCCAGUAAUCAGCACACUGGUAAAGCCAUUGCACCAAAGGGUUAACUGUUGAGUUUCGUCCAACAAGAAGGUGAAAAAAAAUUGAAUUUCUAACAACUCUAACCAGCAAAGACACAAAGAAUCAAUGAAUGAACGGUCCACCACAUACAACGCACACCCUUAUGACAGAGUGCAGCGACAAGUCAUAUCAAGGACAACUGAAGCAUGUUUGCAUUGCAAGAGCACAUGAUAGAUGGCCACAGGACUUGCAUCUACUGCCUUUCCUUACUGAUGACAAAUGGCCUCCGCCAUUCCAUUCCUUCGACAUGUCCAAGGUGUGUCCUGCCAGCGUUCCUUGCCGUUUUUCCAUCUUUCCAUAUUUUUUUUUGAAGUAAGAAGAAAAGAAAGAAAUAAGCUAACAAGUUUCAUAAUGUAGCUAAAAUAUAAGUCCAGACCAGGCCCCUGAAAGAGGAUGGACAUCAUCUGCAGAGGAUCGUCGAAACAAUCCCUCAACUCCCUUCUCUCUUUCGACAAACACCGAGCUUGUAGAACAUCACGCCCAAAUUUAAGUGUGAAGGAUAAACCCAGGCGAAGAAGAGACACACACUUGUGGCAGCAGCAGCAUCAUCAG
rnacentral:lncRNA from 1 species